rnacentral:rRNA from 1 species
UCGGCUCAUCACAUCCUGGGGCUGAAGUCGGUCCCAAGGGUAUGGCUGUUCGCCAUUUAAAGUGGUACGCGAGCUGGGUUUAGAACGUCGUGAGACAGUUCGGUCCCUAUCUGCCGUGGGCGUUGGAAGAUUGAAGGGGGCUGCUCCUAGUACGAGAGGACCGGAGUGGACGAACCUCUGGUGUUCGGGUUGUGUCGCCAGACGCAUUGCCCGGUAGCUAAGUUCGGAAUUGAUAAGCGCUGAAAGCAUCUAAGCGCGAAGCGAGCCCUGAGAUGAGUCUUCCCUGACAGUUUAACUGUCCUAAAGGGUUGUUCGAGACUAGAACGUUGAUAGGCAGGGUGUGUAAGCGUUGUGAGGCGUUGAGCUAACCUGUACUAAUUGCCCGUGAGGCUUAACCAU